AGACGAUGGGAAUGCGACAAUGACGGGAAAGCUUGGCGGAUUGGAGAGUUGAAAGCGACUUCAGGGAGUGGAAGAAUGAGUUGCUGCUUGCUGGAAGACGAUGGGAACGGACGACUUGCUGGAAGAGAGGAAGAACCGAAGAAGAUGAGGACGGUGGCUGGCUGUGAGAAGACGGGGACGGUGGCCGGAGAUNNNAUGAAGCAUAUAAUAAAUCAAUGAUCACCAAUAUCCAGCAAUAAUCUCAAAGACAACAAUAAAUACACAACAACAAUUUAGCAAAUAAACAAGAACAAGACCUAAAUAGAAAAUCCAACAAAUUAAAUCGCAGCAACCUAACAAUUUAGCAAAUUAAAACAACAGCAGCCCAACAAUUUAGCAAAUUAUCAACUUAACAAGUUCAAGAACAGAAAAUCACAACAAAAACAAAAAAAAAUUAAAAGUAACAGAAGAACAACAGAACAACAACACAAGAACAAUUAGCAAAUUAACAAGUUCACAAUAAUAGUUAAAAUUUACUAGAAGAACACUAAUGCAAGUGGAAUCAUCAUGCUAAUAUGUUUUCUGCAAAGAUGCUAUUUGUGCAGCUAAAAUUUCCUAAUUACUAAGAUCCAGUUAUUCUAAUUUCACAUGCAAUCAACCUACUACGUUUCUAAAAGCUAGAAAUUAUAAAACCAACCAGAAAUAUGGUAAAGCAUUUCAUCAAACAUGUUGAGUGCGGUAAAAUUAAAAUGAAAUAAAGGAAUUCAAAACUUAAUAUCAAUGUGAUAGAGAAGAGAACAUAACUAUUGUAACUUUAAUUCCGUCUAUGAAAAAAUCCAAACCACUACCAAAUCAAAUAGUUACUUAUUGUAAUAGAAAUCAGAAAUUGCAGAGUUUGAAGCAGAGUAUUGGUGUUGUGUGAGUGUAUUAUCUGGUGGCGGGUUUAGGAAACUCACGGCAGCGACAAAAGAGAGCAGUUCGACGGCUAGGUGGAGCGCGCGGGUUGGUCGCAGAGUUUGAAGCAGAGCAACGUGGCUUCCAGACGAACGCGAAUGCGAACUCGAACGCUGAACGGCGUGUGAACGCGAACGGUGAAGCUAGAUAGACGGACGGAUGGCGAACUUUGAGUGCCACUGACGGCGGCAGUAUGCCACUCCUUGCGGCGGUGGUGUAGGCUUAGAGUGCUAGGGUUUUUUGGCUGGGUUUGUGUGAUUUCUGAACGAAAGGAAGAAAGGGAGAAAGAAACGAAGGAGCUUCCGUUUUUACGUAAACCGGCGGGGUUCUGGUUCGGUCCGGCUCAACGGUUUUUUAUCGGCUUUUUAUUAAUGGUUUUACAUGCCUGACCGGACCGUUAAUGUUGUCGGUUCGCGGUUGAACCGGUCCCUCUAAAUUGGAAGGCGACAGCUGGAGGCGAGGACAACGUGAAGGAGAGGAAGAUGUGAAGCUGACAGCGACGAGAAGAGGAAGAUGAUGGGAAUGCGACGAUGACGGGAAAGCUUGGCGGAUUGGAGAGUUGAAAGCGACUUCAGGGAGUGGAAGAAUGAGUUGCUGUUUGCUGGAAGACGAUGGGAACAAACGACUUGCUGGAAGAGAGGAAGAACCGAAGAAGAUGAGGACGGUGGCUGGAUGUGAGAAGACGGUGACGGUGGCCGGAGAUGACUAACUGAUUAGGAGAAAAAGGAUCUAGUUAGGGUUCGGUUGAGUGUUUGUCAUUUCAAG
rnacentral:lncRNA from 1 species